AUAGAGCAAACAGCGGCAGGUGCUCCCGACCCUGCGGUCGGGAGUUAAAAGGGAAGCCGGUGCAAGUCCGGCACGGUCCCGCCACUGUGACGGGGAGUCGCCCCUCGGGAUGUGCCACUGGCCCGAAGGCCGGGAAGGCGGAGGGGCGGCGAGGAUCCGGAGUCAGGAAACCUGCCUGCCGCGCUGGCGCUGCU
rnacentral:ncRNA from 24 species